CAGUUUCUUUGUGAAUCAGUUCAGCAUUAGUAGUGGAAUUUCUAGCCAGAAUCUUGCUCUUCACGCUGGUAAAGGUUAGACCUUUCUGGUUCGAACCAUAGAGAUAAUUGGGAUGUGUCUUCUUUUCUAGAAAAGUAUACUUGCAGCUAUAUCCUCUCAUUCAAUUGUUUUAUGUGUUGCAAAAUUAUUUAAGUAAUGAAAAGCACAAUUUAGUUAUCUUCUAUACUGCAGAUUUUAUAUUAUUUCAUUAGCAUAAAGAUGGAAAUGCAGGUUCAUGGAGAACACUAGGUGGAUUUGCUCGCAGUUUUGGACAUGGACCUCAUCUGUAAGUGGGCCGCAUGAUACCGUCAGAUGUACUAAUAAUCUCUAAGGUGGUCUCUUUAUGCGAUUCUAAGUGCACUAUGUUUCUCACUUUGUAAGUACGACUCCAUCAAUCCAAAAGACGUGCACAGUUACAUGAUAGGGUUCCUGCUAUCCAUGAUGUUUCUCUUCCAGGUCAGACGAAUGCUAAGAUUAGUGCGCAACUUGACGUUGAGACAGAGACAAGAUGGUAUCUCUAAAUAUCUGGGACCACAUGGUUAGCACCUACAGUGCUAUGUUCUGAUUAUUGUAUAUGUCUAUUACUGAAGGCAACUUGACUUUGAGACAAACACAAGAUGGUAACUCUAAAUAUCUUGAGUCUUCCUCACUGAAAUUAUCUAUUUU